rnacentral:rRNA from 1 species
GGGUUGUGAGGUUAAGCGACUAAGCGUACACGGUGGAUGCCCUGGCAGUCAGAGGCGAUGAAGGACGUGCUAAUCUGCGAAAAGCGUCGGUAAGGUGAUAUGAACCGUUAUAACCGGCGAUGUCCGAAUGGGGAAACCCAGUGCAAUUNCGUUGCACUAUCGUUAACUGAAUACAUAGGUUAACGANGGCGAACCGGGGGAACUNGAAACAUCNUAAGUANCCCCGAGGAAAAGNAAAUCAACCGAGAUUCCCCCAGUAGCGGCGAGCGAACGGGGAGCAGCCCAGAGUNCUNGAAUCAGCUUGUGUGUUAGUGGAACGGUCUGGAAAGUCCGACGGUACAGGGUGAUAGUCCCGUACACCAAAAUGCACAGGCUGUGAACUCGAAGAGUAGGGCGGGACACGUGGNUAUCCUGUCUGAANUAUGGGGGGACCAUCCUCCAAGGCUAAAUACUCCUGACUGACCGAUAGUGAACCAGUNACCGUGANGGGAAAGGCGNNAAAAGNAACCCCGGCGAGGGNGANGUGNAAAAAGAACCUGAAACCGUGUNACGUACAAGCAGUGGGNAGCANCCUUCGGGUGUGNACUGCGUACCNUUUUGUANUAANUGGGUCAGCGACUUAUNAUUCUGUAGCAAGGUUAACCGUAUAGGGGAGCCNGCNAGGGAAACCNGAGUCUUNAACUGGGCGNUUNAAGUUGCAGGGUAUAGACCCGAAACCCGGUGAUNCUAGCCAUGGGCAGGUUGAAGGUUGGGUAACNACUAACUNGGAGGACCGAACCGACUAAUGUUGAAAAAUUAGNCGGAUNGANCUUGUGGCUGGGGGUGAAANGGCCNAAUCNAAACCGGGAGAUAGCUNGGUUCNUCCCCGAAAGCUANUUUAGGUAGCGCCUCGUGAACUCAUCUUCGGGGGUAGAGCNACUGUUUCGGCUAGGGGGUCAUCCCGACUUACCAACCCGAUGCAAACUACGAAUACCGAAGAAUGUUAUCACGGGAGACACACGGCGGGUGCUAACGUCCGUCGNUGAAGAGGGAAACAACCCAGACCGCCAGCUAAGGUCCCAAAGUCAUGGUUAAGUGGGAAACGAUGUGGGAAGGCACAGACAGCCAGGAUNGUUGGCUUAGAAGNCAGCCAUCAUUUAAAGAAAGCGUAAUAGCUCACUGGUCGAGUCGGCCUGCGCGGAAGAUGUAACNGGGGCUAAACCAUGCACCGAAGCUGCNGGCAGCGACANCUAUGUGUUGUUGGGUAGGGGAGCGUUCUGUAAGCCUGCGAAGGUGUGCUGUGAGGCAUGCUGGAGGUAUCAGAAGUGCGAAUGCUGACAUAAGUAACGAUNAAAGCGGGUGAAAAGCCCGCUCGCCGGAAGACCAAGGGUUCCUGUCCAACGUUAAUCGGGGCAGGGUGAGUCGACCCCUAAGGCGAGGCCGAAAGGCGUAGUCGAUGGGAAACAGGUUAAUAUUCCUGUACUUGGUGUUACUGCGAANNGGGGGGACGGAGAAGGCUAUGUUAGCCGGGCGACGGUUGUCCCGGUUUAAGCAUGUAGGCUGGUUNAUCCAGGNCAAAUCCGGAU